rnacentral:lncRNA from 1 species
ACACUUCCCAAAUUGCCCUCGACAAAGAUUGUAGAGACUGGGGAUGUAGCUCAGCAGUGGCAAAGCUGCCUGGCAAGUGUGAGGUCCUGAGUUCAAUCCCUGGUAUGGGAAAACAAAACAAAACAAACAAAAACCCCCCAAAACAACAACAACAAAUGUAGAGAUUAGUCCAAAAUUUAUUUUGUUUCCUACUAGUGAGCCCAUUUAACCACCAAGUUACAGAUAACUUUGUCUUUUCACGAUUCCUCAUUUACAUUGUAUUCUGGACCUCCUGGAAAGAGAAGAUCCUGACUUUCACAUUUGGGGCACCUCUACAUCUGCCUUUUUAUUUUUGAAUCCAAUGAAGUCGUGAUUGAAUUACAUCGUAGAAGCAACCUCUAGCAGCUAUACUGACAAUUUGUGUGGACAGACGUGAGAUACAAAAU